rnacentral:ncRNA from 2 species
AAAGAAUAAUACUUUUAUGGUUCGAUUUAUUGAUUAAAAGGGAAGUGAGGUAUUAAUCCUCUGCGGUCCCGCCACUGUGAAGCUGACGAAAGCGACGUUACCACUGGAUUUUCCGGGAAGGGUUGUGAUUAGGUUGAAGUUAAGCCAGGAGACCUGCCAUGAAAAGAUUUAUGCU